CAAAAAAUAACAUCCUGAGAUGGUUUGAUGUUAGGUCUUGAAUUAAAUCAUGACCAGAACGGGGGAUCGUUCUCCUUCAGACUGUAAACGUUGCUCUUUCUGCCUUCCCAUUCUGACUCUCCCACACAUCAUACCCUGAAAUGAGUCAAUUCAAGUUGUUGAAAGAGAAGAAAAUGAACCUAACAAGGAAAGAAAUUUGUCUGUGAUUUAAAUUCCUGAAACAAUUUAUCCAGUGAGUGCUAGAACUGGUGUCAGGGGGGAGGUGGGAUCACCCAGCUGAGCCCAGCUGAGGAAUAAUUCACCCAUUCUCACAAGAAGGAGCCACUACAUUUCAUCAGUCCUCAGUGCAACUUCAUCCUCAGUCUGUGCUUCCAAAUCCUCCAUCCCAUGUCACCUACACAGUGUUACACUCUGCUGUGUCUCAGUUCUGGUGCUUGUUCAACCAGAGUGCCGCCAAGAGUAAAAUACAUUAAUUUUCUCAUUGUCACUGACAUACUUUACUGGGUUGCAUUGCUUAAAAAAGAAAAGUCAGGGCACUUCAAGAAGCCAGGCUAGUCAAUCAUACUGGUUUAACUUGCCACUAAAUUGCAGUCUCCCUCAGAAUUAGAAAAACCUGUUUUCCUCUCAGUAGUCUCACUUCUCAUUCCAUUUCUUUCUUCAUUUGUGUACAGAAUGACAGACCAGAGCAGCUGGAAGAUAGAACUGGGCCAUCAUUUGGUAGAAGGACAACUAGAAGCUACCAGAGACCAACAGGGUUUCACGUGUUUUUGCUGUAACUCAGCUGCAGAGGAGCUGUUUAGGCUUGAGUCUCACAGAGUGAUACAAAGGAGCUCACGGUUCUGCUACAAAGGCAUAGAAGUCUGUUACAAUUCAUCUGUUGACAGAAGAACAGACCAUUGUGCAAUCCUGCCCUGGAUGAAUCUUUUGGGACACUUCAGCCAUUACCCAGGAGUAAUUAGAGGAGUCACUAAAGCAAAAUUAAAAAUUAUCUGUACACAUAGCUACAGAAGUGUCAGGAGAAUCUUAGACUCAGGUGCAGGAAAAAUAGUAAAAUCAGAGCUGAAUAGAUCUAUUUGGAUAACUUCAGCAAUGUCUUGGCCUCAUUAG
rnacentral:lncRNA from 1 species